GACGAACGCUGGCGGCGUGCUUAACACAUGCAAGUCGAACGGUAAGGCCCUUCGGGGUACACGAGUGGCGAACGGGUGAGUAACACGUGGGUGAUCUGCCCUGCACUUCGGGAUAAGCCUGGGAAACUGGGUCUAAUACCGGAUAGGACUCAUGCCUGCAUGGGAGGGGGUGGAAAGCUUUUGCGGUGUGGGAUGGGUCCGCGGCCUAUCAGCUUGUUGGUGGGGUGAUGGCCUACCAAGGCGACGACGGGUAGCCGGCCUGAGAGGGUGACCGGCCACACUGGGACUGAGAUACGGCCCAGACUCCUACGGGAGGCAGCAGUGGGGAAUAUUGCACAAUGGGCGCAAGCCUGAUGCAGCGACGCCGCGUGAGGGAUGACGGCCUUCGGGUUGUAAACCUCUUUCAGCACAGACGAAGCGCGAGUGACGGUAUGUGCAGAAGAAGGACCGGCCAACUACGUGCCAGCCGCCGCAGUAA
rnacentral:rRNA from 1 species